rnacentral:rRNA from 1 species
AUUGAACGCUGGCGGCAUGCCUUACACAUGCAAGUCGAACGGUAACAGGUCUUUCGGGAUGCUGACGAGUGGCGAACGGGUGAGUAAUACAUCGGAACGUGCCUAGUAGUGGGGGAUAACUACUCGAAAUAGUGGCUAAUACCGCAUGAGAUCUAUGGAUGAAAGCAGGGGACCUUUGGGCCUUGUGCUACUAUAGCGGCCGAUGGCAGAUUAGGUAGUUGGUGGGAUAAAAGCUUACCAAGCCUACGAUCUGUAGCUGGUCUGAGGGGACGAUCAGCCACACUGAGACUGGGACACGGCACAGACUCCUACGGGAGGCCGCAGUGGGGACGUGUGGACAAUGGGCGCAAGCCUGAUCCAGCAAUGCCGCGUGCAGGAUGAAGGCCUUCGGGUUGUAAACUGCUUUUGUACGGAAAGAAAAGUCUUGGGUUAAUACCCUGGGAUCAUGACGGUACCGUAAGAAUAAGCACCGGCUAACUACGUG